GACGAACGCUGGCGGCGUGCCUAACACAUGCAAGUCGAACGGAGAUUGCAGCAAUGCAGUCUUAGUGGCGAACGGGUGAGUAACGCGUAGACAACCUGCCUUCUAGCUGGGGACAACACCGCGAAAGUGGUGCUAAUACCGAAUGUUGUGCAAAGAACUCAUGUUCUUUGUACUAAAGGUGGCCUCUAUUUAUAAGCUAUCACUAGAAGAUGGGUCUGCGUCUGAUUAGCUAGUUGGUGAGGUAAUGGCUCACCAAGGCGACGAUCAGUAGCCGGUCUGAGAGGAUGAACGGCCACACUGGGACUGAGACACGGCCCAGACUCCGUACGGGAGCUG
rnacentral:rRNA from 1 species